rnacentral:rRNA from 1 species
CUGCAGCCGCCUCCCUCCUCCCUCGCUCGCGCCUUCGCCCCGCGCCCAGCUCCUCCCGCCUCGCCGCCGCCUUCGCUCCCCUCCCGCGCGCCUCCUCUCCCCUCCCCUCCCCUCCCGCGCGUCUGCUCUCCUCCCACCCACAUCGCCGCCGCCGCCACCCACCGCCUCGAACGGCGCCGUCGGCGGCCAGAUCCGCCGCAGCAGAGCGCCCCCCCAACGACGACGAGCAGCAGAGGAGGGAGGACGAGGAGCAUGACGGCGGCGACGGCGGGGAGCAGCAGUAGCAGGCCAAGGCGGCGUAGCAGCCCGCAGCCUCGCCCUCUCGUCAUCAGAAGGGAAGGGAAGGGAAUAGAAGAGGGAGAGUGAGCAGGUCAGGCGGCGGCCAAGGUGCUCGCAGAUUCGCCGGCGAUGUCGUCCGACCUUGGCCUCCGAGUGCUUAUGCUCUGCCUGCUCUGCGCCCACGCAAUGGCCUGCUCGGGAUGCCACCCUCCCCCCUGCUCCAACCCUAAUCCCCUCCCCUCCCCUCACGUUGCUGCUGCUUUUGGUCACGCAGGUGCACGGACGCGUCCCUGCUCCUCUUAGCAACUGAUGCAGGUGGACGAGGCACGAGCCCUCAUGGCUCCUCCCUCCUCCUACCCCCCUGAACCUGCACCUGCGCCGUUGGAUGGAUGGUGUUUACGGAAGAAUAGAGGUCUUCCCGCAGCACUUCACGCCCGAGAAAGAGCCCAUGGACGGUGCUGAUGGUCUGUCCACAAGUAAGAGCAACAUGGAUCCGUCACCAAGUCCACGUAGGCGUUCUUGGACCCCGAAACGAGUCAAGGGAGUUUAUCGCUUCUGCAACUGUUGUCUAUUCCUUGCAUUAGGUGGUCUUCCAGCAACAAGGAUGAUGAUAAGACCGAAUUGACAAGAGCUGAAGUAGAAUCAUUACGAAGCGAAAUUACCAAUGCCGAUGAAAGGGUGUCCCAGCUAAAAGCCCGGUUAGAAAAUAUUGACGAAGCCUUGAGAUAUGCACUCCUUUCCGGGUACCUCCAUAUCAGAAGUAGAUGGACUCAACUUCCUGGGGAGCCACCUAUCAUAGACGACGCCGAUGUCGAUGACUGGCUUCCUCGCUUUGUUGUCCUACAAGGACAGUGUUUAUACUACUAUCUGAAGUGUACUGGCUACUGCCGCUGAUAAUGACGAUGACAACAAUGUUGACCUUUUUGGAACCAAAGAAGAGAAGAAGGCAGUUAGAGAGCAUGCUGCCAAAGUGAAGGGUUCUUGCAAGAAGAAAGAAUAUGACUGUAUAAUUUUACCAUGUAAUUUCUUCUCUUUUAUCGAUGGAGGAGGUGGUCAGAAGAUUCAAUUAUUCUUAAAGUCCUCCACUUCUUCUGCAAAAGUUUGGUGAUUUUUCCAAGGGGGCCGAUCAAAGGAUCUACUCAACUGAGAGACUCCCUGCGCCACCAUGGUUUUAUGUGUACUACCUCUGCAGUGGAAACUUCUGCUACAAUGUGCAUCGACACCAGAGCCAUGUUCCCUAUCGUGCUAUGGUGCUUAGCAUCAUCAUGUAUUUCCAUUCGGUGUAGUUGAGGGCUCCCAAAGUUUGUGUUUCCAAAUGAUACCUCAUUUUUCUCUUAUUUGUAUUGUUUCACAUAGUUUUCAACUACAGGGAUAAAGAGCUAUAGAAAUUUAUGUAAUUUAGCUCCGGCAAAUGAUGCUAAACUGUAAUGUCUUAAAAAUAUGCUUCCUAGCCACUCACAUGGCUACGUGGUAUUUACUUUCAGGAAUCUGGAUAGACUAAGACUGAUGGUAAGAUUUGAUGGUUAUCCAAGUAGUUACCUAAUACUCCCUCCGUUCCGAAUUACUUGUCGCAGAUAUGGAUGUAUCUAGAUGUAUUUUAGUUCUAGAUACAUCCAUUUCUGCGACGAGUAAUUUGGAACGGAGGGAGUAGUACUUAGUAUUAGCUCUUCCCCAAUCAUAUCAUAUACAGGUAGUCUAUAGUUAUUUAUCCAAGAUGGUUGUUGCACCCUUUUGGCCAGUAUGGUAUGUAUGGUCAGGUUGCAUUAGUCUAUGUUAGGAUAAACUGGCUAACAUAUCAGUGAUGUAAAGUCGCUUCAUGUGUACUUUAUGUAACCUCGGACACAUGUACAACCUAUCACAUGUCCAUGUUGUUCUUUCCAUACACAACUUUUCCAUGUGCGGUCUUAAAUACAACUUGGUCUCACACCUAUACUCGAGAGCUCUCUCAAGUACAAAUAAACAUGAAACUAUAUGCUGAAAAGUGUGGUGAUAUAUUCAGUUACUAAAUUUACUGAAUUUGUGAUCCCAAUAUUGCCAGCUGAAUAGUGAAAUGACAGGGAUUGCUCUAUAGCAAAUUUGCAGUGUCCUUGAACUUUGUGAUGUUUCCUAGGGCAACUGGUCUGGUCCAAACUAAUAAAUGCAUGGGUUUUCAUGUUAUGUUCCAUGUAAGAAGUUGAUCUAUGUUUCUUAUGUAUUUGCCUUUAGCUCUCUUGUUCAUUGCAUUGUUGCUUGCUGAUAUUCUUACAUUAUUUUCUGAUCGCUUUAUUACCGGGUUGAGAAUGACCGCACCCGCAGGGGUGCGGCAAGCCGCACUUCUUACCUGUUGUACAGUCAACAGAGGAGCGCCAGAGAGAGAACCCAUUGAAUGCAGAAGCCUGAAGGAGUCCAUAUAGUGCAGGCUGGUCAAGCGUGAGAGUUCAGGUUAUCACACCAUAUGAAGUGAAAGCGCCGUUGGGACUGUUCGCGGUGCAUAGAACUUCCAUGACAGCACGGGCGAUUCCAAGGCCCACUUGAGCUCCUCCUGAUGUCAGACGGUGAGGUUUCUCAACCUCCACUCUAUUAGCCAUGUAAGAUUGCUUUGCUAGAGAUCAUUUCUUUCUUGCCAUCCAUUCAUUAUAAACUUGAUUCUUCGUCACGAAUGGAUCCUUAAUUAUGUGUGUCAUGUUGUUUCCCUGAAAACGGACGAUCGAGUUACAUUGCUUAUUUUCUGUUGUGAGUUGAGGAGCUUGUGGUUUUAAAAGUAUGUCUCAGUUGUAAGAAUGUGGAAAUGAUGGACAGGUAGCAGUUUUUUUAUAUUUUCUGUUUAUAUCCAAUAUUAAGUAGUUAUUAACUCCAUGGCACAGGACUAUACUUUUUGUAGAUGUAGUAGCUUUUGAUUUCCAUUUAGUUAUGGCUUUAUCUUCGCUUUUACAUACUGAUUAGGAUUUCCAUUUAGUCAGGGUCACAAAGUCGUUGUGCCAGGAUUCUUCCCUUUGUAAAUGUGAAAGCGGCUUGUACAAUCUAUUCACAGACUUGCUCUGCUGCUUUGUAGCCCAACUGAUUAUGUACUCUUGAUCGUCCUCAUGGCAUCUGUCAACUCCAUUGUGAAUCGUCUUUUUAUCUUAAGGCUGUACUCGCUAUGCUAGAAUGAUAGAUGAUAUAUAGUAAAUACAUCUUUUCUUUUUACAAGGCUCAUAUCGUAAGGAAUGUCGUGUACUGUAAACCAAGUUCAGUACGUUGUCUAUUAAAUAUAUUUUUGUUUCUUCUUCAAAAUGCGAUGCUCC